GAUGAACGCUGACAGAAUGCUUAACACAUGCAAGUCAACUUGAACUUCGGUUUGGGUGGCGGACGGGUGAGUAACGCGUAAAGAACUUGCCUCACAGAUAGGGACAACAUUUGGAAACGAAUGCUAAUACCUGAUAUUAUGAUUAUAUGGCAUCGUAUAAUUAUGAAAGCUAUAUGCGCUGUGAGAGAGCUUUGCGUCCCAUUAGCUAGUUGGAGAGGUAACGGCUCACCAAGGCGAUGAUGGGUAGCCGGCCUGAGAGGGUGAUCGGCCACAAGGGGACUGAGACACGGCCCUUACUCCUACGGGAGGCAGCAGUGGGGAAUAUUGGACAAUGGACCAAGAGUCUGAUCCAGCAAUUCUGUGUGCAAGAUGAAGUUUUUCGGAAUGUAAAGUGCUUUCAGUUGGGAAGAAAAAAAUGGCGGUACCAACAGAAGAAGUGACGGCUAACUACGUG
rnacentral:rRNA from 1 species